rnacentral:rRNA from 1 species
ACUCCUACGGGAGGCAGCAGUGGGGAAUAUUGCACAAUGGGCGCAAGCCUGAUGCAGCAACGCCGUGUGAGUGAAGAAGGUUUUCGGAUCGUAAAACUCUGUCCUAAGGGAAGAAAAAAAUGACGGUACCUUAGGAGGAAGCCCCGGCUAACUACGUGCCAGCAGCCGCGGUAAUACGUAGGGGGCAAGCGUUAUCCGGAAUCACUGGGCGUAAAGGGUGCGUAGGCGGCUUAGCAAGCCAGGGUGAAAGGCAUUGGCUCAACCAAUGUAAGCCUUUGGAACUGUUAAGCUUGAGUGCAGGAGAGGUAAGUGGAAUUCCUAGUGUAGAGGUGAAAUUCGUAGAUAUUAGGAGGAACACCAGUGCGAAGGCGACUUACUGGACUGUAACUGACGCUGAUGCACGAAAGCGU